AAGGCUUGACAUAUACCGGAAUAUGGCAGAAAUGUCAUAGCUGUAAAAGGUCGGUAUACAGGUGGUGCAUGGUUGUCGUCAGCUCGUGUCGUGAGAUGUUGGGUUAAGUCCCGCAACGAGCGCAACCCUCGUUCUGUGUUGCCAGCAUUUAGUUGGGGACUCACAGGAGACUGCCGGGGUCAACUCGGAGGAAGGUGGGGAUGACGUCAAAUCAUCAUGCCCCUUAUGUCUUGGGCUGCACGCAUGCUACAAUGGCCGGUACAAAGGGCUGCGAUACCGCAAGGUGGAGCGAAUCCCAAAAAGCCGGUCUCAGUUCGGAUUGGGGUCUGCAACUCGACCCCAUGAAGUCGGAGUUGCUAGUAAUCGCAGAUCAGCAACGCUGCGGUGAAUACGUUCCCGGGGC
rnacentral:rRNA from 1 species